rnacentral:rRNA from 1 species
UCAGGAUGAACGCUAGCGGCAGGCCUAAUACAUGCAAGUCGAACGGGAAAGGCUCCUUCGGGGGCCUGAGAGUGGCGCACGGGUGCGCAACGCGUAUGCAACCAACCCCCGACAGGCGGAUAGCCGGUGGAAACGCCGGAUAAUACGCCAUGGUUCCUUGGGAGGGCAUCCUCCUAGGGAUAAAGCAGCGAUGCGGUCGGGGACGGGCAUGCGUGCCAUUAGCUUGUUGGCGGGGCGACGGCCCACCAAGGCUGCGAUGGCUAGGGGAUCUGAGAGGACGGUCCCCCACACUGGUACUGAGACACGGACCAGACUCCUGCGGGAGGCAGCAGUAAGGGAUAUUGGUCAAUGGGCGGAAGCCUGAACCAGCCAUGCCGCGUGAGGGAAUGAGGCCCUACGGGUCGUGAACCUCUUUUAUUCGGGGACAAGGACGGCGUCGUGAACGCCGUUUGAGGGUACCGAAGGAAUAAGCGUCGGCUAACUCCGUGCCAGCCGCAGC